rnacentral:rRNA from 1 species
GUAGGUGGCAAGCGUUGUCCGGAAUUAUUGGGCGUAAAGCGCGCGCAGGUGGUUCUUUAAGUCUGAUGUGAAAGCCCCCGGGCUCAACCGGGGAGGGUCAUUGGAAACUGGGGAACUUGAGUGCAGGAGAGGAAAGUGGAAUUCCACGUGUAGCGGUGAAAUGCGUAGAUAUGUGGAGGAACACCAGUGGCGAAGGCGACUUUCUGGCCUGUAACUGACACUGAGGCGCGAAAGCGUGGGGAGCAAACAGGAUUAGAUACCCUGGUAGUCCACGCCGUAAACGAUGAGUGCUAAGUGUUGGGGGGUUUCCGCCCCUCAGUGCUGCAGCUAACGCAUUAAGCACUCCGCCUGGGGUGUACGGUCGCAAAGACUG